rnacentral:rRNA from 1 species
CCUACGGGAGGCAGCAGUGGGGAAUCUUGGACAAUGGGGGCAACCCUGAUCCAGCGAUGCCGCGUGGGUGAAGAAGGCCUUCGGGUUGUAAAGCCCUUUAGGUUGGGAAGAAGGAUACAUGGGGAUAAUCCAUGUAUUUUGACGGUACCGACAGAAUAAGCACCGGCAAACUCUGUGCCAGCAGCCGCGGUAAUACAGAGGGUGCGAGCGUUAAUCGGAGUUACUGGGCGUAAAGGGCGCGUAGGCGGUUAGAAGGGUGUGAUGUGAAAGCCCCGGGCUUAACCUGGGAAGGGCAUCGCAAACGCUCUAACUGGAGUUUGGGAGAGGGUGGCGGAAUUUCCGGUGUAGCGGUGAAAUGCGUAGAGAUCGGAAGGAACGUCAAUGGCGAAGGCAGCCACCUGGCCUGAAACUGACGCUGAGGCGCGAAAGCGUGGGGAGCG